rnacentral:misc_RNA from 1 species
GUCUUUAACUAUAUGGGCAAGAGCUCUCUCAUAAAUGGAUAAGAAUUCCUUCAUUUUGAAUUUUAUGUCCUUACUCCACUUUAGGCCGAAGUUUCUCUCCACUGCAAUGGGUAAAAAGCCCUCAUCAAUGGGCAGAGCCAAAUCUGCAACAAUUGGCAAGACCCUUCUCUAUAAUGGGUGACAGCCUCUCUCAAUGAGAUGAAAGCCAAAUAACCUUUUACACCAUUCUCCUAUUUAUAGUGUUAAU